rnacentral:rRNA from 1 species
GACGAACGCUGGCGGCGUGCUUAAUACAUGCAAGUCGAACGGAAAGGCCCUGAUCUUGUGGCGUGCUCGAUUGGCGAACGGGGGAGUAACACGUGAGUAACCUCCACCUGUCUUUGUGAUAACUUUUGGAAACUGGGGAUCAUAUCCGAUAGGAGCUCUUGCUCCAUGGGGUGGGUUGGAAAGUUUCGGCGGUUGGGGAUGGACUCGCGGCUUAUCCGCUUGUUGGUGGGGUAGUGGCUUACCAAGGCUUUGACGGGUAGCCGGCCUGAGAGGUUGACCGGCGACAUGGGGACUGAGAGACGGCCCAGAAUGCUACGUGCGGCAGCAGUGGGGAAUAUUGCGCAAUGGGGGGAAGCCUGAUGCAGCAACGCCGCGUGCGGGAUGACGGCCUUCGGGUUGUAAACCGCUUUCGCCGGUGACGAAGCGUGAGUGACGGUAAUGGGUAAAGAAGCACCGGCUAACUACGUG